UUGGAGGGCAAGUCUGGUGCCAGCAGCCGCGGUAAUUCCAGCUCCAAUAGCGUAUAUUAAAGUUGUUGUGGUUAAAAAGCUCGUAGUUGAACCUUGGGCCUGGCUGGCCGGUCCGCCUCACCGCGUGCACUGGUCCGGCCGGGCCUUUCCCUCUGCGGAACCCCAUGCCCUUCACUGGGUGUGGCGGGGAAACAGGACUUUUACUUUGAAAAAAUUAGAGUGCUCAAGGCAGGCCUAUGCUCGAAUACAUUAGCAUGGAAUAACAGAAUAGGA
rnacentral:rRNA from 1 species